CAGGAAAACAGAUCCCUGCAUCCCUUUGCCUCCCCGGAGCCCUGGCAGAGGGUAAGAAUGGGGUAAGAAUAGCCUACCUGUUGCUGGUCCCAAGUCCAAGCUGGAUUCGUUGAGCUCUCCCCCAUCUUCCCAGAAGUACUGUGGAGGCUGUAAAAUCUUGGACUCCUCAUUUUCCUCGCUGGCAAAGCCUGAUCCUGGGGCAGCAUGCAGAGAGCCAGGGAUGAGAUCAGGCUCUGCAGUCUCGGGGCUCGUCUGCUCAUGGGAAUUCAUUGCCUCUAGGUGGGACAUAACAGCAAAUUCCAGCAGGGAAGUUGAAGUGAGGCCAUCAGUGGUCGGUUCCUCCGAGGAGGCAAGGCAGAGGCACAAAGUUCCGGUAGCCAGGAGGAGCGGCAGCAACGCCGGGGCCCGGUGCAACGGCUGCAUGGCGGCGGCCGCUGCCCUGCCGCGCCGCCUCUUCACGGGGAGCGGGGCCGCCCCGCAGCCCGCCGGGCUCUGCCCCUCGCCGCCGCCGCGCCCGCCCGCCGCCCGGCCCCGCGCU
rnacentral:lncRNA from 1 species